AUUAACUUUAUGUUUUUAAUGUGCAGACUGGUUUGGAUUUUAUUGGUUUGCAUUUUAUUGUUUUUUAAAGUGUCUAUAGCCAUAAGGAAUUUAUAGCUUGUUUAUGUUUAAGUAAUACUGUGUUUAUAUUACAUUCAAGAAACACUGUGGUAGAAAUAAUUUGUCAACACUGGGUGCCGUUAUUUUUUUUUUUUCUUGUAAAGGGAACCACCCAUUAAGUUGCAGAGAUGCUGUGCCAGGUCUUUGGAAGAAAUAGAUGUGAAUAAAUUAUGUCCAGCACCCACAUUUGCAUUGUAAUCAGUUAUGAAUUCCGGUUUGCAUGGGGACUUUUGUAAAUAUUUCUUUGUGACUAGGAAUAGAGUUGUGGCAAAAGUUCCUGUUUCAUAAUUCACCUUUCUUCAUCACCAACCUGUAGAAAAAUAGGAUUUAAAGAAAUCAGCUAGAGUAGCCCGCUUUCAACACCCUGAGUGAUGCAAGGUCAUGUUAGACCCUACCAAAGAUUACUCCUCACCCUCGGGGCACAAAAGGAGAGGAGCGAAGGACUGAGAGGAACAUUGUCAGCUUCUGCAAGGUUUUCUCAGCAAGAUCAUCAUCCACAGAGGCACAUAUCUCCAGGAAAGACUGUCCUUUAAACCGGGUCAUGGAAGGUUGCUAGCAGGCUGUGGUCCAUGAACUCACAGAAACUAUAAGCCAUCCGUGAAGAAGGAAUGGGUCCAUCUGAAGAGUACCAAAGGGAAAAGUAAGACAAAGACAUGGAGCAGCCACAAGGGGAUGAGAUGGAUGAAGGGGGGGAAGAAGAGAAGAAAAUCAGACCUCAGCCCCAAAGUAAGGCUUUUUGGUGUGGAAGUAUAGAGUUUCUAAAUACAUGGCACAAGUUCAUCUAAAUGAGCAGAACAUGGCUGUACAAAUGUUUAAUGUAUUUGUGAAAAUUAUACUUGUUGAAAAUGAAUUAUUCACAUUCAAAACCAAUAUUUCAAGGCUUGUGGCUAAACUAUUAUCUGUAAAAGCCAUGGCUUAUGUGUGACAUUCUGGCUGUGCUUUUCUGUUUCACUUUUAUCUGUUCUACAGACGAAGGCGAUGGUGCAAAAAGGAGUUUACCAGAAAUGAGUAUUGAGUAACAGUCUCAUCUUAAAAUACUUUUGCAACUUGUUAUGCAAAAUCACAGUUGCAGAAAAAUUGGUUUCCAUCAAGAGCUAUUAAGUGAAUCAACUACACUAUCUCUAGAUCAGAUUUUUUAAAAACCCAUUCUCCUUCACAGAGAACUUUUGUUCUAUUUGUAUACAUUAGAGCAACCAAUACAUAUCAAACUUCAGGCCUCUUACAAGUAAGUAAAUACAUCAAAGAAAAGUUUUUACUUAAUUGAAAUUUGGAUUAAAAUAAAUAUUCAAUAGUGUCAA